rnacentral:piRNA from 2 species
UCUGAGCGAUGUGAUUAACCCUCUGU